rnacentral:siRNA from 1 species
AACAAUUGGGUAUUAAACGUCCA